rnacentral:rRNA from 1 species
GACGAACGCUGGCGGCGUGCCUAACACAUGCAAGUUGAACGGGGUUGAUUCUUCGGAAUUAACUUAGUGGCGAACGGGUGAGUAACGCGUGAGCAACCUUUCCUCUACUGGGGAAUAACACCGGGAAACUGGUACUAAUACCGCAUGAGACCACAGGGCGGCAUCGCUUAGGGGUCAAAGAUUUAUUGGUAGAGGGUGGGCUCGCGUCUGAUUAGGCAGUUGGUGAGGUAACGGCCCACCAAGCCGACGAUCAGUAGCCGACCUGAGAGGGUGAUCGGCCACAUUGGGACUGAGACACGGCCCAA